rnacentral:rRNA from 1 species
ACGGGUGAGUAACGCGUAAGAACUUGCCCUUUAGACUGGGAUAACAGAGGGAAACUUCUGAUAAUACUGGAUAAGUUAGUAUAUCGCAUGAUAUGCAAAUGAAAGCUACGGCACUAAAGGAGAGCUUUGCGUCCUAUUAGCUAGUUGGUAAGGUAAGAGCUUACCAAGGCGAUGAUAGGUAGCCGGCCUGAGAGGGUGGACGGCCACAAGGGGACUGAGAUACGGCCCUUACUCCUACGGGAGGCAGCAGCU